AUUCUAACAUUUAUACAGCACUCUCACACCCAUCACUCUCACAGACAGCACUCUCACACACAGCACACUCUCACACACAGCACUCUCUAACACACAGCACUCUCUAACACACAGCACUCUCUCACAGCACUCUCUCUCACACAGCACUCUCUCUCACACAGCACUCUCUCUCACACAGCACUCUCUCUCACACAGCACUCUCUCUCACACAGCACUCUCUCUCACAGCACUCUCUCACACGGCACUCUCACACACGGCACUCUCACA